ensembl:lncRNA
UCAACACAGCAGAUGGUGAUCCAUGCUGUGGAAGUCUCACAUCUCCUGAUUUAAUGGAGCUGCUUUGCACUUUUUACACUGUUUAUUCACCAACACUUUAUUUAAUCAAAGUCCCAUCUAGUUUUUUUGAGGAAUGUGAUGUUUUAAUUUCUCUGUGAAUAACUGCAGUCUAAUGCAACAGCUGGAGUUGUAACAUCUGUCCUGAUAUUGAUCAUGAAGUAUUGAUCAGAAUACUUAUGGUCAGCAGUCAUUCCUGAAGUUUUACAUUAAAAUCUUUACUUGUGUUGUGAACUUUGGUAAGAAGCAGAAACUUUUGCGUUGCCAUGGAUACAUGAGUGUUAAAUUCUGUCCAUGUUUCCAUUUUGGGAAAUUCAGUCCAGUUCCAGAAUGUGGAGGAAUUUAGUCUCACAAUCACAGACAACAAAUAUUAUCUGAAAGUCAGGUUAUUGUUGUUUAUCAGCACAAUACAAAGAUUGUUAGAAAUAUUCCAGUUAAGACUCUAGAAUAUCAUGAUUUAUGUAAAUUUACCUCAAUAAUAUGAAUGUUCAGGUUAAGAUUGUACAGUGAUAUUUAUUAUGUAAGUUUAGCUGAUUAAAGUUUAUGACUCUGCACUAAAAUAUUAUUUAAAUUGACAUCAUUAUUAUAAUAUUUAGGGUCAGACCCUACAGUAUUGAGAUUAAGAAAUCAAAUAUUCUAUAAAAUGUAAAUACACUGAACUCAUUUGGAUAUAUUUAAGUGAGACUCUACAAUAUUAUUUGACACAAAUGUAUCUAAAUCAAAAUUUUAAUAAUUUUCAUGCCAAACAUUUACUGGACUGAUUUAAAUAUUAAAAUCACUCCUUUCUAAUCCUCUGCUGUACGUUCAAACCUGAGGCCUUAAAUAGAAACACACAAGUAUCUGAUUGAAGGAACUUCUGCAGAGUCCUGGUUCCAGAACAUGAUGAUAGAAUUAUAGACAAACUUUAACAAAAGCUGCCUGAGAGUUUACAGGUUUUUAUGUUGGAUUUCUUCAGUAAUUUAAUGAGAGUUAUCAGCAAAAAUCAAGUGUUCAUUUGAUGAACUUGAUUUCCUAAAACAUCCAGAAUUGGAGCUCAUAUCUUUGGCAGCUGUAAAGUUUCUGCUCCUUCAAAGUUCACAACACAAUGAAUGAAUUCCUAAAACACUCUCAAUGCUGGAGAACGUUUGUGAUGCUGAAGCAGUGACCAGUUUUUCUGUUUCUUCUCUGGAGAUGCACAAUGAGGGACGUCUGCAGCGACUGAGAAAGAGUCUCACCACAUCCUGACAUGAGGAAAAAGACUUUAUUGAAGACUACAAUGAGAAAAACUAUCAGACAGCAGACGGCUGCAUUCAAGGCUACAGGAGGAGUCCUACGAGGACGAGCCGGUCCACCUGAUGGCGGCCAGUCGCUGCGGUUCAAAGCCAACACCGACUACAUGGACUUCUACUGGACCACACGGAGGACUUCAAACCGGACCAACAAGUUCACCGACUCCCCGACUCGUGGGUCUGAGGACGCCGCCGAGCCUCGGCCCAGCCGGCCUCCUGUCUGUGGGUGUUUGAGUGCUGAGAGGUUUGUGGAUGCAUGUGAACGUUCUGUGUUGAAACAGCAGCUUUGGACUCAGUAACGCCGGGAAAAACCAAGAGCUCCUUUAUUUGUGACUUCCACUAAAAAAAACUGAUGAAAAUAAGUUUGCCAGGGUUCUGACUGAUAACAGAUUAUUAAAUAAUGAAAAUAACAGUUUAAAUAUUCUUUUAAACAAUCCUUUUAGGUCUACAUUUCCUUUACACUGAC